rnacentral:rRNA from 1 species
UACGUAGGGUGCAAGCGUUAAUCGGAAUUACUGGGCGUAAAGCGUGCGCAGGCGGUUAUGUAAGACAGUUGUGAAAUCCCCGGGCUCAACCUGGGAACUGCAUCUGUGACUGCAUAGCUAGAGUGCGGUAGAGGGGGAUGGAAUUCCGCGUGUAGCAGUGAAAUGCGUAGAGAUGUGGAGGAAUACCGAUGGCGAAGGCAAUCCCCUGGACCUGUACUGACGCUCAUGCACGAAAGCGUGGGGAGCAAACAGG